rnacentral:ncRNA from 1 species
AAGGUGAUAUAAAAACACAUUGCAGUUGGUAGUCUGCAAGCAUCUUUGAUGUCAGUAACCUUCCCUCCGGGUCGUCCAUUAUCCUUGAUUUU